UGGUUCAGUCCAACGAUUUUGAUAACUCCUGCACACCCAUUGCCACCUCUUGACUCCUGUUUCAAACAUACAAAUCUCCUUUCAAACCUCGGAUCAAUAGUUUUUUCUUCUUCUUAUUUUUAAGGAUAGCUACAUAUGCGCUUAAUUUUUCACUGCCGCAGAAUUCUAUAAAUAUUACCUAGCUCACGAAUUUCCAGUCGAACUCCCCUUAUUCGUGGUUCAUUAUUCACCGAUCAACAAUCAAUUCAAAACCCUAAUACGGAAAAAUAUGCUUCCUUCAGAUAUCAUCUCAGAAAUCCUAGCACGCUUACCAGUGAAGACCCUUUUGCAAUUCAGGUGUGUCUCCAGAGCAUGGUGCUCUAUAAUAGACAGCCAAAGUUUCAUCAAAAUGCAUUUGCAUCAAUCCACGGCGACAAACUCCUAUCACAGCCUAAUUCUCGGAUGCCUGGGUAAGGGUCUUUAUUAUGUAGAUUUGGAUUUACUUGACAAAGCCCACGUCAUUAAACCCCCGGUUUCUUACAAGGGUUUUGACUGCAUAUCCAACUCUUGUAAUGGGUUGAUUCUUGUAAUGAGUGAUCCCCUUGUACCGCCUGUAUUAUGGAACCCUUUCUCGAGAAAAUUCAAGAUUUUACCUGACGCCCCGAUUGAAUAUCCAGCGCCUUUAUUGUGUCUUUCCCAGGUCUUUUAUGGGCUUGGUUACGAUUUGAGAAAUGAUGAUUAUAAAGUUGUUCGUGUUGUCGAAUUCUGCAGUGAAUCAAGCCGUGCCUGUUUAUGCUCUGCAACUGAUAUUUAUAGACUCAAAUCGAAUUCCUGGAACAGGGUCACUGCUUUUCCUUAUCCACUGCCCCGUGUGAAUGAAAACUGCGAAAAGUGGGAUGUACAAGUGGUCCAUGGGGCAUUUCAUACUCUGGUGGAGGAUUUUUUGGCCAAAUCAUUUAAAAUCAUGGCUUUUAGUAUUGAGAAUGAGAACCAUUAUGAGGUGAUGCUGCCUCCUAAUAUUGUGAUCAAGAAUGCUAAUAGGAAGUUGGAUGUGCUAGGAGGCUGUCUUUGUUUAGUUUCUGCUAGCAAUUCUGGUGUUACUGACAUAUGGGUGAUGAAGGAAUAUGGGGUGGAGGAAUCUUGGACUCAAUUGCUUUCAGUUGGUUCCCCAAGUAUUUUGUCUUUUUGGAAAUCAUUGGUUUGUUUGAAGCCAUUGGCUUAUUCAAAGAAUGGUGAAAAGGUUCUUUUAAAUUGUGAUGAGAAAAGACUUGUUUGGUACGAUUUAAUUACAAAAACUACUAGGAAUGUCAACAUUAGUGGUUUGCCUGACAAAUUUUAUCCCGAGGUUUGUGUUGAAAGCCUUGUUUGCCCUGGCGGCCAGGGGGGAGGUGAUGGGAUCGAGAAACAUGGACAAGAAAAGAGGAAAGGAAAGAAGAUCAAGAAUGGAGAGGAUUUCCUUUCAGAGGGGUCAAGUUCGUGCGCUAAAUAAGUGACGAGAUUCGAUGAGGAUAAUACUUAGUUUGUCCACUUACAGAUGAAAAGGCAAAAAAGCGAAAAUUCAGAGCGAAUGGUCACCCUUUGGGUAAAGCUGUGUCGGGAAUGCUAUAUUCUUCUUCUUUAUCGUGAGCAACUGUCCACAUAUAUCUGGACCUUGCUCCUGUUUGGCUAAAUGAAUUGCUAAAUUUAAUUGCAGCUGACAGCAAUAACGACGAAAUAUGCAAAUUGACUUGAUAGAAUUUUUGUGUUACAAGGAUGUGAAGUUGAAGGCUGUGGUUGAUUGGUGUUGUCACUGGUGUACUACCCGUUGUCUCUUAAAUUACAGUUUUCCAACAGAAUGUGAACUUGCAGGUUGCCCUCACGACGAAUUUAAGAAACUUGUGCACAUCGUCUUGGAGUCCUCUUGUUUCUGAGCAUACUUUCUUGCUAAAUGUAUUUCGUGGGUAAAUUGACCGUAGGUCCAUUUCCCAAUUAAGAGCAUGACUUUGAUUAUUGAAUGUUUGUGUUGGUACUCAGGAAGCUGAUUGUUUUUUCUCAAUUAUAUAUAUUUUUAUGGUUAAACAUGAUUUUGACACAAAAUUCUAUUUUAUUACGUAUUUUUGAGCUCAA